rnacentral:rRNA from 1 species
AUUAGAUACCCAGGUAGUCCACGCCCUAAACGAUGUCAACUAGCUGUUGGGGCCUUCGGGCCUUAGUAGCGCAGCUAACGCGUGAAGUUGACCGCCUGGGGAGUACGGUCGCAAGAUUAAAACUCAAAGGAAUUGACGGGGACCCGCACAAGCGGUGGAUGAUGUGGAUUAAUUCGAUGCAACGCGAAAAACCUUACCUACCCUUGACAUGUCUGGAAUCCCGAAGAGAUUUGGGAGUGCUCGCAAGAGAACUGGAACACAGGUGCUGCAUGGCUGUCGUCAGCUCGUGUCGUGAGAUGUUGGGUUAAGUCCCGCAACGAGCGCAACCCUUGUCAUUAGUUGCUACGAAAGGGCACUCUAAUGAGACUGCCGGUGACAAACCGGAGGAAGGUGGGGAUGACGUCAAGUCCUCAUGGCCCUUAUGGGUAGGGCUUCA